rnacentral:tRNA from 1 species
CAGAUAUUAGUUUAUAUAAAAUUUUAAUUUUGGAGAUUAAAGAUAGGAAUUUUUCUAUAUCUGA